AGUGAACGCUGGCGGUAGGCCUAACACAUGCAAGUCGAACGGCAGCACCGUAAGAGCUUGCUCUUACGGGUGGCGAGUGGCGGAAGGGUGAGGAAUACAUCGGAAUCUACUUUUUCGUGGGGGAUAACGUAGGGAAACUUACGCUAAUACCGCAUACGACCUACGGGUGAAAGCAGGGGAUCUUCGGACCUUGCGCGAUUGAAUGAGCCGAUGUCGGAUUAGCUAGUUGGCGGGGUAAAGGCGCACCAAGGCGACGCUCCGUAGCUGGUCUGAGAGGAUGAAUCCCCACCUGGUAUCUGAGACACGGUCCAGACUCCUACGGGGGGCCGCAGUGGGGAAUAUUGGGCAAUGGGCGCAAGCCUGAUCCAGCCAUACCGCGUGGGUGAAGAAGGCCUUCGGGUUGUAAAGCCCUUUUGUUGGGAAAGAAAAGCAGCAGGUUAAUACCCCGCUGUUCUGACGGUACCCAAAGAAUAAGCACCGGCUAACUUCGUG
rnacentral:rRNA from 1 species